GAUGAACGCUGGCGGCGUGCCUAACACAUGCAAGUCGAGCGGCAGCGCGUUUUACACUGAAUUCUGGAAGCUGCUAGUUGAAAGAGAAGAUUUAUUCAAGAAUUUUGUGUAAAAUGUCGGCGAGCGGCGGACGGCUGAGUAACGCGGGGGAACGUACCCCAAAGUGAGGGAUAACGCAGCGAAAGGUGUGCUAAGACCGCAUAUGGGCGGCGGAUUAAAGCCUUCGGGCGCUUUGGGAACGGCCUGCGUAAGAUUAGAUAGUUGGUGGGGUAAUGGCCUACCAAGUCGACGAUCUUUACCUGGUUUGAGAGGCUGAUCCGUCAGACUUGAACUGAGACACGGUCCAGACUCCUACGGGAGGCAGCAGUGAGGAAUCUUCCACAAUGGGCGAAAGCCUGAUGGAGCAACGCCGCGUGCAGGAUGAAGGCCUUCGGGUUGUAAACUGCUUUUAUAAGUGAGGAUUAUGACAGUAACUUAUGAAUAAGGAUCGGCUAACUACGUG
rnacentral:rRNA from 1 species